rnacentral:lncRNA from 1 species
CCUGCGAUACAUGCCAUGAUUUGAUUUUGUUUUCCAAACCAAUGUCAAUAUCUUCUAUAUCAUCUAAAGCACGGAAUUGUAGGACAGUAACUGACACGAAAGCAGAGGCUUGGAGCACAGUAAAUAUCAGUAAGGAUGACAGCCAUGGUGACGUACCUUCCUCGACAGACAUGAUUAUAGAGUUAAGAUAAGACAAACCAC